AUUGAACGCUGGCGGCAGGCUUAACACAUGCAAGUCGAGCGGGGGAGGUUGCUUCGGUAACUGACCUAGCGGCGGACGGGUGAGUAAUGCUUAGGAAUCUGCCUAUUAGUGGGGGACAACAUUCCGAAAGGGAUGCUAAUACCGCAUACGCCCUACGGGGGGAAAGCAGGGGAUCUUCGGACCUUGCGCUAAUAGAUGAGCCUAAGUCGGAUUAGCUAGUUGGUGGGGUAAAGGCCUACCAAGGCGACGAUCUGUAGCGGGUCUGAGAGGAUGAUCCGCCACACUGGGACUGAGACACGGCCCAGACUCCUACGGGAGGCAGCAGUGGGGAAUAUUGGACAAUGGGCGGAAGCCUGAUCCAGCCAUGCCGCGUGUGUGAAGAAGGCCUUUUGGUUGUAAAGCACUUUAAGCGAGGAGGAGGCUCUUAAGGUUAAUACCCUUGAUGAGUGGACGUUACUCGCAGAAUAAGCACCGGCUAACUCUGUGCCGGCCGCCGCUGUAAAAC
rnacentral:rRNA from 1 species